rnacentral:tRNA from 1 species
CUGGACAUGGCUCAAAUGGUAGAGCAUUUGCCUAGCAAGUGUGAGGUCUUGAGUUCAAACCCCAAUAUCAACA